rnacentral:rRNA from 1 species
CCUACGGGCGGCAGCAGUGAGGAAUAUUGGUCAAUGGGCGGGAGCCUGAACCAGCCAAGCCGCGUGAAGGAAGAAGGCGCCAAGCGUCGUAAACUUCUUUUGUCGGGGAACAAAGGGCGCCACGUGUGGCGUUGUGAGUGUACCCGAAGAACAAGCAUCGGCUAACUCCGUGCCAGCAGCCGCGGUAAUACGGAGGAUGCGAGCGUUAUCCGGAUUUACUGGGUGUAAAGGGAGCGUAGACGGCAGCGCAAGUCUGGAGUGAAAUCCCAUGGCUUAACCAUGGAACUGCUUUGGAAACUGUGCAGCUGGAGUGCAGGAGAGGUAAGCGGAAUUCCUAGUGUAGCGGUGAAAUGCGUAGAUAUUAGGAGGAACACCAGUGGCGAAGGCGGCUUACUGGACUGUAACUGACGUUGAGGCUCGAAAGCGUGGGGAGCAAACAGGAUUAGAUACCCGAGUAGUC